AACGAACGCUGGCGGCAGGCUUAACACAUGCAAGUCGAACGAGAUCUUCGGAUCUAGUGGCAGACGGGUGAGGAACACGUGGGAACAUCCCUUUCAGUUCGGAAUAACGUUGGGAAACUAACGCUAAUACCGGAUACGUCCUUCGGGAGAAAGAUUUAUCGCUGAAAGAUUGGCCCGCGUCUGAUUAGCUAGUUGGUCAGGUAAUGGCUCACCAAGGCUACGAUCAGUAGCUGAGCUGAGAGGAUGAUCAGCAACAUUGGGACUGAGACACGGCCCAAACUCCUACGGGAGGCAGCAGUGGGGAAUAUUGGACAAUGGGCGCAAGCCUGAUCCAGCCAUGCCGCGUGAGUGAUGACGGCCUUCGGGUUGUAAAGCUCUUUUGUCCGGGAAGAUAAUGACUGUGCCGGAAGAAUAAGCCCCGGCAAACUUCGUGCCAGCAGCCGCCGCUG
rnacentral:rRNA from 1 species